GUAGCCGUGGGCGUCCAAAUGAAGCUGGAAUUCCUCCAGCGCAAAUUCUGGGCGGCAACACGGCAGUGCAGCACUGUGGAUGGGCCGUGCACACAGAGCUGCGAGGACAGUGAUCUGGACUGCUUCGUCAUCGACAACAACGGGUUCAUUCUGAUCUCCAAGAGGUCCCGAGAGAGUGACCAUGUAUGACUAUCAGGCCAUGUGCAAACCCUCGAGUCACCAUCACAGUGCAGCCCAGCCCCUGGUCAGCCCAAUUUCUGCCUUCUUGACGGCGACCAGGUGGCUGCUGCAGGAGCUGGUGCUGUUCCUGCUGGAGUGGAGUGUCUGGGGCUCCUGGUACGACAGAGGGGCCGAGGGUGAGUGCACGGAGCUGCAGGGCCAUGUGCUGAAGAGCAGUGGCAUUUUGGUCCACUAACGUGAGACCAUUCCCCGUGGGGUGGGUGACAGUGGGGAUAGGUGACCCUGAAGCAUCGUUGUUCACAUCUCACCCUGCGUGGCCUUCUCUCAUCACAUCCCUCACUCCUGGCUCUGUGUGUGACAUCAUCUUGGGACACUGCCACUCCAUGUGCCAUCAUCACCACCCCAUGACAUCCUGCCCUCAUGUGCCACCAUGUUUUCCUGUGCCGUGUCCACCCUGUGCUGGGCUUAUGUUCCGGCCAGCCAAAAGUGUCUUCCAUCAC
rnacentral:sRNA from 1 species